rnacentral:lncRNA from 1 species
CUUCAACAGGUUCCAUCCAAACCCUAGACUAAAUAAUUAGCUACUCAUAAUCGUGUUCAUAAUAACAACAACAAAAUUUAUCAUGAAUGAUAAAUAUAAAAAGGAAGAAAAGUAGAACUCGAUGUCGAAUUAUCCUCCCUGCCUUUUGCCUCUUCUUGCCUUCAACUCAACUGUAAAAACCUUGAUAAUAUCUUUUUGGAUGAGCCGGACCUCUUAUAGUUUAAGUAGAACUUCCCCUAAACUUCCAAGUUUACCCCUGAACUUAUAUGCUCCAGACCGGACUAGCGCGGCCGCUCUCCAACCGUGCUAGUGGCUGCACAUAUUGCAUAAUGUUCUACCUCAAUUUUCUGGACUAUAGCGAUCGCGCUAAGGUGGUUCAAAAUUUAUCUCUUCUUUUCUUUCUUCUUUCGGACGUACUCAGUUUAUAGGGGCUUCCCUUACUUUAAUUUAGCUCUAAACACUGUCCUAAGUCAUCAUAUGCGGAACUUGCUCCCGCAUAACAUGAAAUUCACAAUUAGAGCCAAUUUAUUAUCAUUUAACUAUCCUAGAAUGGUGAAGCAUAGUCAUGUUGGGGCAUAAAUAGUCGCCAAACUACAUAAAUCUAGCCUAUUAUCAAUACCCCACACUUAAAUCAUUGCUAGUCCCCAAGAAAUCCACCAUACUUUAUAAAGGUUCCUUCACUGAUAUUUUCCUUAACGUAUCACACCAAGAAUGAAUUAUCAAAGUUACACCUACUAGUGUAACAUCUUUUCCUCAAGAGUCAACUCUCACAUGCCGUGCAAUAUGUAUACUUACUUAAAUUACUCUAUACAGAGGUUAAGACUUGUUUUUCCUUCGUGAAUCAAAUGCCCUCACAUUACACAAGAG